rnacentral:tRNA from 1 species
GCCUCUGUAGCAUAGUGGUAGUGCGUUCGCUUCGUAAGCGAAAGGUCGUGAGUUCAAUCCUCUCCAGAGGCU